rnacentral:lncRNA from 1 species
UCGGCUCUAAUGCAUCAACUUGAGUCUCGCCCCCAAUGAUAUUAUAUGUUAUUUCAUGUCAAAAUUAGCACAUAAUAUCAUUUUCAGGACCAUUGGACACUGAUAAUCGUGAGCUGUGGUUCAGACUUUUCUUGAACCCUAGAUCCAAAAUUCUUAAGGUUUUUAGAUGGAUUUGGGAAAAAUAGCUUGGGACUAAAGCAGAGGAAAGUAAGGGGAGUAUGGGGUGUGGAUUUGGUAAGGUUUGGGUAGCGGCGCUGCAGUGGGCGAUAUCCACAAAUUCAAAGAUUCGAAGAGAAGGGAGGGGAUUCGAGACAUGGGAGUUUGGGGUUUGGAAAGACGGUACCGAGAGUAUGUGGUGUAAUUUUGAGAGGGAUUGGAGAACUUCCGCCGACGGAGGCGAUUUUCGGCGGCGAUUCACAGCGGAAAGUGGUGAGGUUUAAGG